rnacentral:rRNA from 1 species
ACUUCACUGCAACCGGGAGGGUUCGAUGCAAUCCGGCCGAGGACAUUGGUCCAAAGCUACAAAGAUUGACAAAGGCCCCCUUCAAACCACAACAUAGGUUGUUCGCCCUUCGGACUGUCCUUAUCCCACAGCUCUACCACAAGUUAGCACUUGGGAAUGUGGCGAUAGGCUUCCUACGAAAAACUGAUAAACUUAUAAGAUAUUAUGUGCGAAGAUGGCUAAAUCUUCCGCUGGAUGUGCCGAUAGCAUUUGUUCAUGCACCCCCAAAAAGUGGAGGUCUCGGAAUUCCAUCACUAAGAUGGGUAGCUUCAAUGUUAAGGCUAAGACGAUUGAGUAACAUUAAAUGGCCUCACCUCACGCAAAACGUGGUAGCCAGCUCUUUCCUCGAAGCCGAAAAACAACGGGCCCGAGAUAGAUUAUUAGCUGAACAAAAUGAACUGUUAUCGCGUCCGGCAAUAGAAAAAUAUUGGGCGAACAAGUUGUACCUCUCAGUUGAUGGUAGCGGACUCCGUGAAGCGGAAGUUAGUCAACCCACGCGUUUAUUGACAGGAAAGGAAUAUAUAGACGGUAUUCGUCUGCGGAUAAAUGCCCUUCCCACAAAGUCUCGUACUACAAGGAGAAGGCACGAAUUGGAACGACAGUGUCGUGCAGGAUGUGAUGCUCCCGAAACAACAAACCAAUGCAAAAAUGUUACCGCUCUCAUAGGAGGCGGGUAGCUAGACACAACUGCGUAGUAAAUCGUAGCAGGGACUUGAGGAGAGAGAGAUGACUUGGUCAUUGUUUAACCAAGUCUACAGUGCGAAUCCGGCCUUAAUAAACCAGACCAAAAUCACAUUGAUGUGAUCGACAUACAAAUUGUGACAGACGGACACUCAAUGGAUGAUGCACACCAGGGAAAAUCAAUAGAUACGACAGGCCGGACAUACGAACUGAAUUGCGUCGCAGAUUCGAAGCCGCAGGUGACAUUGAAUUCCAUUCUGCCACCCUGAACUGGAGGGGGAUCAGGAGUGGUCAAUACGUUAAAAGAUUGAUAGCGAAGGGUCUCCUCAGAAAAUAUGAUAGUCAUAUCAUUAGCGUCCAGGUUAUGAGAGCCAGUCUCGGUUGUUUUAAACAGUUCAUGUACCUGAGCGGGUUUUCCCGAGAUUGGACUUAGCUAAAACGUUUGGUUCAAAAAAUUUGCUUGCUGUCUUGGCAUAACAUCAAUAAAGGCAUAAGCAUCGCAAAAUAAUGGUUAUAAUUAAAUGGCUAUGAGGGUGGUUUUAGUACGUAGGCGUUGCGGAACUUCGGUUCAUAUACAGCAAUGAAUCGUGCAUGCCAGGAAAACUGACCACACACAGUGUUGGCAGACCAAGUAUCUUUCGAAGAUUUCUAUACCUCCGCGAUCAAAAAAAAAAAAAAAAAAAAAGCCAAAUGCCUCGUCAUCUAAUUAGUGACACGCAUGAAUGGAUUAACGAGAUUCCUACUGUCCCUAUCUACUCUGCCGUGUGGUUAGCGGGCGAGAAUACUACCACAGUCCGCUGUUGCUUGUCGUAAGACUAAUACAGGUUCCUCUAACCCUGCUUGUCGGAGCAAAAGGGGGAGGCCCACCGAGCCUCUUUUCGGUACCACGGGUUGAACAGCUAUCCAAGACUGCUCAUUGAGGUAGGCCCCCUGGUGGGAGUAUCGUGGUGGCUGUGGUUGGUACCCAUAUCGCGGGUAGAGCCUUCAUGCUCGACGUUUGAGUUACGGUGCUGGUUGCGCAAAACUCGGGUGCUGAGACCCAGAGAUCAGUAGAGAUUUUAGGUAGAUCUCGCUCCUCAGCAAGGGGGAGUGCUUGCCCGGCAAGCAAGUACUCGAAUUGCUACCGGGUGGUCGCUAUGUACAUAGCUAUAGCUUCUAGUCCGGGACGCUUGUCUGGCGUAUCCAGACACAUGCACCAUAUGCUCACUUGUGGGUGUAUAUGGUGCCGUGGUUGUAAUCCCUUCAGUGUGGAACACGCCACGUAAAACAAGUUCGGAGGGAUCCGAAAAGCAUACAUUGUCCCUAUCUACUAUCUAGCGAAACCACAGCCAAGGGAACGGGCUUGGAAUAAUUAGCGGGGAAAGAAGACCCUUUUGAGCUUGACUCUAAUCUGGCAGUGUAAGGAGACAUAAGAGGUGUAGAAUAAGUGGGAGAUAUUAGACCUCGGUUUGGUAUCGUCAAUGAAAUACCACUACUCUUAUUGUUUUCUUACUUACUUGAUUAAGUGGAACGUGUAUCAUUUCCUAGCCAUUAUACGGAUAUAUUUAUUAUAUCUUAUGGUAUUGGGUUUUGAUGCAAGCUUCUUGAUCAAAGUAUCACGAGUUUUUUAUAUAAUCGCAAACAAAUUCUUUAAUAAAACGAUGCAUUUAUGUAUUUUUGAUUUGAAAAUUUGGUAUAACUCCAAUUACUCAGGUAUGAUCCAAUUCAAGGACAUUGCCAGGUAGGGAGUUUGACUGGGGCGGUACAUCUCUCAAAUAAUAACGGAGGUGUCCCAAGGCCAGCUCAGUGCGGACAGAAACCACACAUAGAGCAAAGGGGCAAAUGCUGACUUGAUCUCAGUGUUCAGUACACACAGGGACAGCAAAAGCUCGGCCUAUCGAUCCUUUUGGUUUAAAGAGUUUUUAACAAGAGGUGUCAGAAAAGUUACCAUAGGGAUAACUGGCUUGUGGCGGCCAAGCGUUCAUAGCGACGUCGCUUUUUGAUCCUUCGAUGUCGGCUCUUCCUAUCAUUGUGAAGCAAAAUUCACCAAGCGUUGGAAUGUUCACCCAUGCAAGGGAACGUGAGCUGGGUUUAGACCGUCGUGAGACAGGUUAGUUUUACCCUACUAAUGACAAAACGUUGUUGCGACAGCAUUCCUGCGUAGUACGAGAGGAACCGCAGGUACGAACCAAUGGCACAAUACUUGUUCGAGCGAACAGUGGUAUGACGCUACGUCCGUUGGAUUAUGCCUGAACGCCUCUAAGGUCGUCUCCGUGCUGGACUGCAAUGAUAAAUAAGGGGCAAUUUGCAUUGUAUGCCUUCUAAACCAUUUAAAGUUUAUAAUUUACUUUAUAAACGACAAUGGAUGUGAUGCCAAUGUAAUUUGUAACAUAGUAAAUUGGGAGGAUCUUCGAUCACCUGAUGCCGCGCUAGUUACAUAUAAAAGCAUUAUUU